rnacentral:rRNA from 1 species
CUACGGGUUGCUGCAGUGGGGAAUAUUGGACAAUGGGGGAAACCCUGAUGCAGCAACGCCGCGUGGAGGAUGACGCAUUUCGGUGUGUAAACUCCUUUUAUAUGUCAAGAAAAUGACGGUAGCAUAUGAAUAAGCACCGGCUAACUCCGUGCCAGCAGCCGCGGUAAUACGGAGGGUGCAAGCGUUACUCGGAAUCACUGGGCGUAAAGGACGCGUAGGCGGGUUGGAAAGUCAGGUGUGAAAUCCUACAGCUUAACUGUAGAACUGCACUUGAAACUUCUAAUCUAGAGUAUGGGAGGGGGAGAUGGAAUUAGUGGUGUAGGGGUAAAAUCCGUAGAUAUCACUAGGAAUACCUAAAGCGAAGGCGAUCUCCUGGAACAUUACUGACGCUAAGGCGUGAAAGCGUGGGGAGCAAACAGGAUUAGAUACCCCUGUAGUC